ensembl:ncRNA C25H3.19 ncRNA
UUAUACUUCUAAUGUUUCAUGUGGAAUAUGUUUCAAAUUCACUAAAACUGUGGGCUAAUUGACAAUAGAUUUCGAGGUAAUCUUCUAGAAAUCAUCAUCAUAUUACCCAGAAAUUUUGCAAAAAAACGCCAAAAAAUACGGUACCAGGUC